rnacentral:sRNA from 1 species
GCGUUCCGCAACGGUGUGAAGCACUAGCGACAAGCAGGUGUGGACUGUGCGGAAGUGAGAAUGUCGGCUUGAGUAGCGCAAAUGUAGGUGAGAAUCCUACACCCCGAAACCCUAAGGGUUCCUCCGCCAGGCUCGUCCGCGGAGGGUGAGUCAGGUCCUAAGGCGAGGCAGAAGUGCGUAGUCGAUGGAUAACGGGUCAAUAUUCCCGUGCCUGACAUUGUUGGUGCAGAGGGACGGAGAAGGCAAUCGCCAGCCGGAUGUUGGUUACCGGUUCAAGUAUUCGAGGUGUUGAGAGACGGAGAAAACGUCUUGAGCUGAGGUACGAAUACGACCUCCUACGGGAGGGAAGUGGUAGAUGUCAGGCUUCCCAGAAAAGCUCUAAACACCAUAAACAAUGUCAGCCUGUACCCGAAACCGACACAGGGUCGACGCGGCCGCGAAUUACCGACCCCUCUGGACGUCCAUACCAUCUA